ACCUAAAUGUAAGAGCUAAAACUAUAAAACUCCUGGAGGAAAACAUAGAAAUAAAUCUCUGUGACUUUGGAUUAGAUAAUGGUUUCUUAGAUAUGACACCAAAGCAU